GGUGAACGCUGGCGGUAGGCCUAACACAUGCAAGUCGAACGGCAGCACAGUAAGAGCUUGCUCUUACGGGUGGCGAGUGGCGGACGGGUGAGGAAUACAUCGGAAUCUACUUUUUCGUGGGGGAUAACGUAGGGAAACUUACGCUAAUACCGCAUACGACCUACGGGUGAAAGCAGGGGAUCUUCGGACCUUGCGCGAUUGAAUGAGCCGAUGUCGGAUUAGCUAGUUGGCGGGGUAAAGGCCCACCAAGGCGACGAUCCGUAGCUGGUCCGAGAGGAUGAUCAGCCACACUGGAACUGAGACACGGUCCAGACUCCUACGGGAGGCAGCAGUGGGGAAUAUUGGACAAUGGGCGCAAGCCUGAUCCAGCCAUACCGCGUGGGUGAAGAAGGCCUUCGGGUUGUAAAGCCCUUUUGUUGGGAAAGAAAAGCAGCAGGUUAAUACCCCGCUGUUCUGACGGUACCCAAAGAAUAAGCACCGGCUAACUUCGUG
rnacentral:rRNA from 1 species